AGAGUGAUGUGACAGCGACAAUGACAGCGCAGCAGAAGCUGAGAGGCAAUCACCAUGCCAAAGGUAGUUUCACAAAGGAUUUGGACACUUGCAAGCCAUUGUGUGGGAGGUUCUCUAAGUUGAGUGUGCAAAAAGGUUGUUAACUUUAGUCAAUGUAAAAGAUAACAUGUAAUAGUUAAUGCAUUACCAUUUAUUCAUCUUAUAAUGUUAUUUUGUGCCAGUGUUAUUUUAGUAUCAUUUAUUAUGUGGUUUUAUUAAUAUUUUGAAUUGGUUUUUAUUUUCCAUUAUCAUUUUACUUAAAGUUUUAGUAAUUUUGUAGAUUUAGUUUUCAUUUCAGUUUUAGAUUGAUAGUCUUGAUUAGUCUUAGUUAACUAAUCAGUUUUGUGCAUGUGCUAACACAUUUUAACAAUUCAGGUGUUAAGAAUAAACAUUGUUAUUACAUGGC